AUUCCUUCUUAUCCUGCACUCAGUUUGUUGAUUGGCUGUGGAGCCUGGAAAUGGAGGAUAAAUGAUAUUGAAGGAGUGCUAUUACUUGACGUCUUCUGAGGAUGUGGAGAUAGUGUGAAUUUGAACAAUU
rnacentral:snoRNA from 14 species